GAUGUGACCACCUGUAUCAUGUUAUAUUAUUGAGAAAUGAGGUGUGGAGAAUUUGAGGCAAUUUUUAAUUUAAUAAAUUUAUGGAAUAAGUGAAACUCUACAGGGUGUUAAUUAUAACAAGUUUACGACUUAUAGAACAUCAUGCAUUUCUACUAUAUAGAAUAGCCAAAGCAUGGACGACCAAGGGCAGAAGCUGUAAAUAUGCACGUUAGUUAUGUCUGGCAGAUAUUUAGCUAUCCUUUCUUCAAAAUAUUCUAAAAACAACUACAUAUUUCUAAUAAGAACAGUCUUCAGUUAUCCUUCAUCUCUCAAGAAUACUUAGCAACACUGCUUUCAUCGUCAUCGGCGGCAACACAAUGACACUCGGAAAUAAUAGCACCAGUGAAGAGAUCCAUUUUGACAAAGUUACGGAAGGUUGUCAUACGCCGGUGUCUCCGUCAUUUGGACGAUUCAAUGUUGCAGCUCUUCCAUUAUUGGUUAAUUGCAUGAAGUAUUCUAAUCUGUUGGUUAUGGUCUGAUAGUUGUUAUUACUAACGCACUAAAUCUAGGUCUAGAGACAUUAACUAUCUCAUCUCUUUUCCCUUUGAAUGGGCAUUUUUUCUACUUUGCGAAAAAAUAAAGAGCUAAUUAUCUUUGAUAUUGUUGUAAUUAUUGUGAUUGAGUGAGGGUCAAAGCACACUUAAAAUAUCCCUUUCUUUUCAAAUUUCAUACCGCAUAUUGGUUGAUGGAAUUGGUUUUUGUCUUCUUCAUCUGGAUUGAGCUAGGUCCAUGUAUAGAGUAGUUGCUUGAUUCAAUAUUGUUGUAUGAAAGUUGGAAUUUUACUUGAUGAUUUUCGCCAAAAUUUGAGUCCUUACAAAUUACCUCUGAUCAUUUUUGUGUCUGUGCAGUUCUUUUCAUUCUGUAGAAUAUGUGAUGCACUUUCUGAAACUAAUUUGAUAAAUAGAAAAAGUAUUAGUUAGUUAAGCAUAGAGUGAAUAACACAUAAUCCAUUAAAUUGUACCUAUUUUACCUUUCCAAUGAGAUAGAGAACCUCUUUGGUCCCUGCAGUGUAGCUUAGCUGUCAACAAAGUGGGUAAAAGCAUGGGAGAUGAGAGUUCAAAUUAUAGCAGUGACAAGAUGAUGGGUGUUUUCUUGCUAUCUGCCCAGGUCUUGUGGAGGGUUACCGGAAUUUGUGCGGUGGGAGAUAACAAGUACUUGGUGGAAUAGUCGAGGGAAAUAGGAAGAUUGACGAUGACGUUACACAUCGUAUUGGAGCAAGAUGGAUGAAAUGGAAGCUCGCAUCUGGUAUCUUGUGUGAUAAGAAAGUGC